AUUGAACGCUGGCGGCGUGCCUAAUACAUGCAAGUCGAACGAGACCUUCGGGUCUAGUGGCGAACGGGUGAGUAACACGUUGGUACCUGCCUCGAAGUGGGGAAUAACUGCCCGAAAGGGUGGCUAAUACCGCAUAAUACCGCAAGGUUAAAGCAGUAAUGCGCUUCGAGAGGGGCCUGCGUCCCAUUAGCUUGUUGGUAGUGUAAUGGACUACCAAGGCGACGAUGGGUAGCUGGAUCGAGAGGUUGACCAGCCACACUGGGACUGAGAUACGGCCCAGACUCCUACGGGAGGCAGCAGUAAGGAAUCUUCCACAAUGGACGAAAGUCUGAUGGAGCAACGCCGCGUGCAGGAUGACGGCCUUCGGGUUGUAAACUGCUUUUAUAUGGGAAGAUUAUGACGGUACCAUAUGAAUAAGCACCGGCUAACUACGUGCCAGCCGCCGCCGUAA
rnacentral:rRNA from 1 species